GCAAGUCGAGCGCGGGAAGCGAGCUGAUCCCUUCGGGGUGACGCUCGUGGAACGAGCGGCGGACGGGUGAGUAACACGUGGGCAACCUGCCUGUAAGAUCGGGAUAACUCCGGGAAACCGGGGCUAAUACCGGGUAAUACUUUCUUUCGCAUGAAGGAAAGUUGAAAGAUGGCUUCUCGCUAUCACUUACAGAUGGGCCCGCGGCGCAUUAGCUAGUUGGUGAGGUAACGGCUCACCAAGGCGACGAUGCGUAGCCGACCUGAGAGGGUGAUCGGCCACACUGGGACUGAGACACGGCCCAGACUCCUACGGGAGGCAGCAGUAGGGAAUCUUCCGCAAUGGACGAAAGUCUGACGGAGCAACGCCGCGUGAACGAUGAAGGUCUUCGGAUCGUAAAGUUCUGUUGUUAGGGAAGAACAAGUACCGUGCGAAUAGAGCGGUACCUUGACGGUACCUAACGAGGAAGCCCCGGCUAACUACGUGCCAGCAGCCGCGGUAAUACGUAGGGGGCAAGCGUUGUCCGGAAUUAUUGGGCGUAAAGCGCGCGCAGGCGGUUCCUUAAGUCUGAUGUGAAAGCCCACGGCUCAACCGUGGAGGGUCAUUGGAAACUGGGGAACUUGAGGACAGAAGAGGAGAGUGGAAUUCCACGUGUAGCGGUGAAAUGCGUAGAUAUGUGGAGGAACACCAGUGGCGAAGGCGACUCUCUGGUCUGUUUCUGACGCUGA
rnacentral:rRNA from 1 species